UUAGCCAAUUCAUGAGCCAAAUUCACCCAAUUUUAUUUUUUUCAAAAAAGUUUUUGAACAUUAAAUCGGUUUUUUAUUUUAUUUUUAAAAAUUAGUACAAAUGAAUCUUUUUUUUUUUUGCUAUAUAUAUAUAUAUAUAUAUUUUUUUUUUUUGAGAUUGUGGCAUGUUUGGAUUAGAGGACAACGUUUUUAUCAUGGUCCCUGCCACAUAAGAUUGCGAUGGAAGCCCUGCUCUUUGCCAAAUCCCAAACGGCAAGAAGACAGCUGUCCGACCACCGGUCCACCGGAGCCUAUCAAUUCUCCGUUGUGAGAAUAUCUUUUAACUCAAAGCCUUCAUGGGUUUAUCCUCCUCCCUGCUGGCCUGAUCUGCUCUCUUUGCUUGUCUAGUAUAUAUUCAAAAAUAAGCUCUUUUCUUUUAUACUUCCUCGAUUAAGAUUUCAUUCAUCUCUAUUCAAUGUAGAGAUUUUGAAGAUUGGCAUUUUUCAGAAUCAGGAAGGGCGUGUGAAAAAUAAUAUUAGUAUCAAUCAUUAACAUGCAUUCUUCGAAGCAAAUUAUGUAUCUGUUUCUUUCCCUCUCCAUCAGUCACAGGAUAUAUGUUCUUUACCAGGCUGACCUAUAUGUUUACCUGAAUUUUACUGCUUUUCUACAGAAUAUAAAAUCAAUCUCAUCCUAUUGAUUCUGGCUUACAUUAUUACCACAGAGGCAAUUUUUGGAUAACUCAAAAAGUUGCUGUAAGAAUGAAUACGAAUGUAUAAAGUGGGUUUCCUGCAUGUACGUCUGCAAUAUGAAACAGAUACUUGGAUUAUGAUGUUGAUAGUGCAGCGAUCAACCAAGGAGAAGUUAAAAGUAGCUUUCUUUUUGAAGUUUAGCAUAGUGGAUUAUAACCCUUAGCUUAUGACCUUCAACUAUUAUUAGUAAAACAUAAUAAAAUAGUACAGAGUAGUUCCUUUCAAGGAGUACAUUGUGUAUUACUAGCCAGUCUCAUGACAGAUAUUGAGUGACAACGCUACUGUAUAGCAUCUUUGUUGUAGGUCAUGCAUCUCUAGAUCCAAUCAUUGUCUUUCUA